AGUCAUUCUCCAGCUUGGAGAGAGAUGGACCUGGCUGCCUGAAAGAGAAAAGGAUACAUUGGAGAAGACAUGAAAAGCCAUUGUUUUUAAAUUAAAACUGGAAGUGAAAACACCUGAGCUGCAGCUGAAACUGUGUUGCAAACCUCUCCCUAUUAUAGGAUCUAGGAGCUUACAGAGUGUUUACAUUCAGCCCAUUUGGAGAAAAAAAGAAAAGGACAUAAUGAGGAGGUAAUUUGGCUAAAUCCAACUAGUGCCAUAUUCUACUUCAUUAUUACAUCAGUGUCCCCACAGAAUCAAAGAAGGAAAGAAAGAAAAAGCCUUAACUCUGUCAACUCUAGGAGACUGAAUUUUGGUUGGAAGAAAGUUUUAAUAGCAAUCUCUACCUGACAGCACUUUGGGGAGUGUAACCACCUGACAUACUUGUAACACACUUUGUGUCCCACACAAAACUCCUCCCAACAGUAGAUGGGAGUUCAUGCUACUUUUUAACUGUUCUGAGCAAGUCCAAGCAUCACCAUAUGCCCCUGCACUGGGUCAUUCUAUAGGGCUGGUGACGACAGGACGUGCUGGUGUUGCAGCUAUAGCAGCAGCAGAACAACUGAGUACUUUUUAGUGGCUCUUCUGGUCAAAUUUCUGAACUCUGUGGCCACUUGACCCUAGGGAUCAAGUCUUCUAGAAGUCCCUGACUGAACACAAUGGCAUGUACAUACCUCCAGUCCCAUAGCCUGCACUUUUAAAGCCAGACU